CCCUUAGAUGUUCUGGGCCGCACGCGCGCUACACUGACAGAGCCAGCGAGUUAUUCACCUUGGCCGGAAGGUCUGGGUAAUCUUGUGAAACUCUGUCGUGCUGGGGAUAGAGCAUUGCAAUUAUUGCUCUUCAACGAGGAAUUCCUAGUAAGCGUGAGUCAUCAGCUCGCGUUGAUUACGUCCCUGCCCUUUGUACACACCGCCCGUCGCUACUACCGAUUGAAUGGCUUAGUGAGGUCUUGGGAUUGGCUUCGGGGAGCCGGCAACGGCACCCUGUUGCUGAGAACUUGAUCAAACUUGGUCAUUUAGAGGAAGUAAAAGUCGUAACA
rnacentral:rRNA from 1 species